rnacentral:rRNA from 1 species
ACCCAGACCGCCAGCUAAGGUCCCAAAGUCAUGGUUAAGUGGGAAACGAUGUGGGAAGGCACAGACAGCCAGGAUGUUGGCUUAGAAGCAGCCAUCAUUAAAGAAAGCGUAAUAGCUCACUGGUCGAGUCGGCCUGCGCGGAAGAUGUAACGGGGCUAAACCAUGCACCGAAGCUGCGGCAGCGACACUAUGUGUUGUUGGGUAGGGGAGCGUUCUGUAAGCCGUUGAAGGUGUGCUGUGAGGCAUGCUGGAGGUAUCAGAAGUGCGAAUGCUGACAUAAGUAACGA